rnacentral:snRNA from 1 species
AUGCUCUGGUUUCUCUUCAGAUCGUAUAAAUCUUUCGCCUUUUACUAAAGAUUUCCGUGGAGAGGAACAAUUGUGAGUCUUAGACCAAUUUUUUGAGGCCUUGCGCUAGCGAGGCU